GCCGAGCUCGGAGCUGAGUGGAAGCGGCCAAGCUCCCCGGGCCGGGCCCGCCGUCAGCACGUCACGUCACUGCCCGAGAGAGACCCAGGAAAAGGCGGAAGGGAGCGCGCCGCCGCCGCUGCCCGCCGUCUCGGGCCAGCCGUCCGCCGGGGCCUGUGCCGGGCGCGGCGCGGGAAAGGGUGGCGGCGGCGGCGGUGGCGGCGGGAGGGGGAGGCGCGGCGCGGCGGCGCUGGGCUCCCCGCGGCUCCUCCUGCCGCCGCCUCCGCCGCCGCUCGGCCGCCAAGCGCCGCUCGGGGCUCCGUUUGCGCUCCCGCAGCGGAGCUACGGUCCCGGGGACCCCCUCCCGACCCGGCCCCAACAUACUGGAGCCUCCCCCGCCCUAAGGCCGCUAUCCCGCGGUGCAGGCCCGCGGCCCGGCCCGGCCCGGCCUUGUUGUGGCGCGGCCCGACAGGCCCAGCUCCGCAGUCGGCCUGGCCGAGGCGUCCCGGGGUGCGGAUGUGUGGGGAUUUUGGGGCGCCGAGAUGGAGCGAUGGGUGUUAGGUGGCCGGGGUCCUGUGGUGGCCUUGUGUCACCGGGUGCGGUUGCACCUGGCAGGUAUUGCUAGCAGUAAUAACAACAAUUAAUCAGAAAGGCCCCAGAUUUCAGUGAGGAAAGGGGCUCCCGCAUGCAGCGGGGAUGGUGCUAACCCUAGAGCUACUGGCACUUACGUAAAAGGCAGCUGUGGUUCCUAGGCCCAGCAGUGCUUAUGCAAGGAGACAGAAAUGGGGGAAACAGAAAAUAGGGAAGGGGUCUUCCUUUGUAGACUGCAGAACAUUUGGAGGAAUAUUAUGCCAAAAACAGCGUGCUUGGCUGGCAGUGUUUUCUGAUCCUUGUCCUAAAAGUUGAUCAGAUUUUCUUUUGCUUUUCAAGAAAACAGUCACUGUUGAUCCAUGAGAAGUGCAGCCUAGAGUGUUCAGGCUAUCAGAAGUUACACGCCAUAAGCAGCCUCAUGGCAACAAGGAAGUAAAUUCAUGUCAUUAUGUGAUCAGGGCUUGAGGAGACUGCUUCUUAUGCUAUUCUCACCACUGAAGUAAACUGGAAGUAAAUUGGCUGUCACGCUUAUCAACUGAUGCAAGUGUGACUUAUCUGGCCAUGAGCAGCGCACACACAAUGUUUUUGUUGGGUAUGUUUAUGCUUUGGGCUCAACAUUGACUCAGCUGUACUUUUGUGCUGUAGUCUUUCCCAUCCUAACACACGGGCUUUGGAAGUAAUUUGGGAUUGCUUGUGAAAUUCUUAUGUGGCAAACGUGUACCCUGACCGUGGUACUGUGAGCAGAGGAGAAGUCAUUACGCUUCAGAAGCAAAUUUCUUGUGAUUCGCUUCACCAGAGUUUUAAUUAAGCUUUCAUAGAAUCAGCACAACCUUGUAUUGCAGGACAGGUUUCUAAAAUAUUUACCUUAAAUUGAAUUGUUAGUCUUCACCGUAAGUAUGAUAUAAAUGUAAAAUAAGUUAAUAUUCUUUUUAGGAUGAAAGAGGCCAAGGAAGCAAGAGCAGAGAAAGAUGUUCACUGAUUCAUAAUCAACAGCAAGUCAGAUCUCAUAUAGACAUUUCUUAGAAAGGUAUUUUCACGCAUCUCAGAGAACAGUGUCUGACAUAAGGAAGCUCCCAGCAGAAGCAUGAAGUGAGUUUGGAAUGAGGAGAGGAAUGUAAAGGGCCUGUGUUGGGUCUUCUUGUGCUGUGCUCUGCAAGGUGGCUGUAGAGAAGUGACAGGAGAGCAUCUGUCCUUUUACAUUCUUUCUCAUGGUGGUGUUAUGCAAAGGCAAUGAGUUAAAGCUGACCUAAUAUGUCUAAACUGGUGAAAAUGCUGGAAGGCCAAUGAGAUCUGCCGUGCUGUAUAUCUCAGGUAACCUCUGUAGUUAAAUCAUUGGGGGCGGGCAGCACGGCAUCCCUUACUUUGAAGCUGUGUGACACUUUGCACCACACGAGUUUUCAGUUGCUCAUAGAAUUCUGCCAGCCUUCACAAGUCUGAAAUUUUCCAUUAGGGGUGUUGGCCUCAAUCUGAUUUUGUUUUUGGGAAGGUUCCAGACACAAUUUUUAAAGCUGCCUGAGAUCAAAACUGCAGAUUUUCUUUUUUUCCCCCCUUGUUAAAAAAUAAUGAUAAUGAUAAAGAAAAUCAAACUUAUGGGAAGAAAAAUAUUCCGAAAAGAGAUCUUAAUUUCAAACAGCAGAGAGGUCCUCAUACAGAGCAGGGGUCCCUGCUGUCCUCUGGAGAAUGCAUGAAAAGCACUGAUAUUUCUUGGUCUACCAGUGCUCAGCAGACUUCUUGGCAUUUAGUUGUUAAAGGCAGAAUUUCCACCAUAAUUUCAUAAUUGAGCACUGCGCAAGCUUAAAGGAAUUUUUAACGGGGUAGGGAGGUUAAUAAUUUAUUCCACAGUUACAAAUAACAUCCUCUUGGUUUAAAUUCUCAUCGUUUUAGGGAAAAAAAAAAAGAAAAAAACAACAGUCCAAAGCUUACCUUACAAUUCUGUAGGCUCACAUUUUACUUGCCUUCUUUCUCUGAGAAUCCAACGUACUUCUUGCGAGCCGUUGGUACAUGUGAUGAGGGUGAAAGGAGCGGUAACAACCGAACAUGUUGCUGGAGGACAGCCUGAGAGACCCUGACAAAAGAAGGGCUGGAGAGGACUCAGACAGUUAAAAGUUAUGUAUUUAUUGUUUCAAAAUGGAACCCAAAAGUGAACUUUGUGUCAAGCAAAAUUCUUGCGGCUACAUGUGUAUGAGACGUGACAGCACUUGGAAACCCUCAGAUCCCAGAUACCACAUAGACAUGAAAAGUGGGUUCCUCCAGUACAGACACGAGCAAUUUCUUUCCUAAACUUACAUGAAAAUACAUGUCGUGACGUGACACUUUCAUGUAGGAUUAGACCUAUAGGACUUGAGAAUGGAAUAAAAGUAAACGCAAAGCACAGCUCCUGGAAGUAAAGGUCUCUCUGAUGAAGCCCCUUAUUUCUUCAUUCUCACUUGAGUUGGAAUGCACAGUCUGCAGGCUCCUUACAUUGGUGGGGGGUUUGUGCUCGGUAAUAGUGUGCACAGGAACUUGUCAGCAGCCCAUCAGCUCGCUAAGUCACACAGGUAAGGAUGGAGAUUCCACUUGUCUGUACUAAUAGUGUAUGCACAGACACCUUGACAAAAGGUUAGAAGUCCUUUACAAGGCAAAUGUUGCAUUGCAAUGGGAAAAAGUAAAUUUCCGGCACAAAGACACACAUUACUGCAAUAGCAUGAACUAAGGAACGUGAAGAAAAGACUGUGCCUCCUUCAGGAAAAUCGAAGUAAUUUAAGAUUAAAGCUCUGAAACAAAACACAAGCUUAUCUUUAAGCGCCUGACAGUCCCACGGUAUUAGUAGGACGCUCCAUGUGCCUGAGGUGUGCACACACUCGCUGUGCUGGGACACACUGGUGCUGCUGGCUCAGCGCGUUAACACACGUUACCAGAUAGGCAGGCGAGAAGCCAAAGCCAAUGUGGGAAUAUGGGAAUGCCUGCAAGUGUUGUGGAAGGAAUAUUUAUGAACUCAUACCUUCGUUGGUGAAAAGCAUGACUCCAUUUUAGAUUUAUAAAGGAUUGAGUCCUUCACAAUUACUACUGAGGGGAUACAUGGGAAAUACUUUUUGCUGAGCUUUGUUAUUGGUGACGUUUUCACUGUGAGCAGGAAGAAGUAGAAAAGAAAGAAUAUUCUACUGCUGUAUAUCCAGUACCAACCCUAUCAAACCAUACUUUUAAGCUGAGGUGCUCAGUUCUGAGGGGGGAGUAGUUAAGAGUCAAUGAAACAUUUUGAGAUUAAUAACAGAUGAUUGAGCACAAACAGGAACAAAAAUGAAUCAUACAGCCUGAGGGAAAAACCUUAAGGCACAUUUGAAGAAGGAAAACCUUUUCAAGCCCUUCAAUCAUAUUGUAAAUUAACUGAAGCAGUAACUAACUGCAGUGUUGGCAGGGGAGACAGCUGAGGGUAUCCUUCUGUUUAGAACAACCCCUGUCUCAUAUGUCUGAUUUCUUUACCAGUGUUGGCGGAGAGGCAGUGGAGGAGAGCUGUGCCCUGACACAUCCGAAUGCUCCAAAAUCCCUCCAGAUCAGCCUCACACCAAAUGACCCCUACGCUGCCAGCUGGAGAAAGGCAAAUAGAGCUGCCCAGUGGGCCUUGCUCCUACCAUGGGCAGGAGCUCGAAUGGCCAACAGCUGCCUUCUGGCCUACCCCAUGCUUUUUGAUUUUGGUAAGAAAGGAGAACUUACAUGUUUGUGCUACCUAUAGACACGUCUGACUGUUGCAGCUGGAAGCAGCAGACACUGCGCAGAGCAGCGAUGGUAAUGACGAUGGCAAUGGCAAAGCCGACUCAAGACGGGACACCUACCGCGGCUGGCAGGCAGCUGGCUGCCAUCAGGCAGGCACAGGCGCCAUCGUAUGGCCUGGAAGGGAUGGCCAGGCAGCGAGAUGCCGUCCACAAGUGCGGAUGUGUUUUAAGACGCUGAAAAAUUCACGCUUCUUCAGAGCGCGGUGCGAGCUGUGCCUGCACUUGGCAGUUCGCAAAGACACGUGAAAGUUCCAGACAGAAUCACAGCCGCAGCGCUGCAGCUCUGUGCCGUUUGCACAAGCCUCUGUGCGGUGCCGCAGAGCUCUGUUGCGUCACACCGCCUCCUUACAUCAUCCUGAAGUAACAGCGCCUGACACAACGCCUGCAGUCAGCCCUGUGACAGCUGAAUCUAAGCCUAACCGUGCUUUCAAGGUUUGAUAUCUUUCUCAGUGCCCUAUAGUUACGUCUUCAAAGAACAGAGACCAUAAAGCAUCACAUGCUGCAUGCGAACUGCUGAAUCACACACAGCCUGUCACCUGGGGAAAGGACCCUCUCAGCCCUGGGAGCACAGGUGAAGGCAAUUCAGCUGUGUGACCGGCAGGGGUGGAGCCUGGCUGCGCCUCUCUUACACCUCACUUAAGGGCUGACUGCCACUGGGAAAGGAUCUCUAGUUGGAGAUCCUGCCCUUGUAGAGUCCAUUCUGUGAGCCUUGAUCUUUGGAGACAGGUGAGCACGUUUACUUUUCCUGUGAAAUAUCAUCCAAUCUGUGCUGGUCCCUCUGUUGUUGCAUUUUUGUAUCACCCUUCCACCAUGCUAAUCCUUCUGGUUGUAACACAUGCAAAUAGAAGCUCUCAGCUUUCUUUAUUCCUUUUCUGCGUCCUGGAAUUAUUCUAUUUCCAGCACAGCUGCUCACUGACCUUUUGCUAGAGAGCUAGUGUUGCAUAUAUGCAACAGUGUAAGUAACAAAUGUACUCAUGCUUUAGAGAAAUGCCGCUGCGUCACUAAAGAAUGACUUCUUUCCAGUAUUUCUGUGACACCAAGCAAAGCCAGCUUGUAGCUGUUACCAGCAGCACUACCACACCUCUGGAAGCUCUCCCGUGUAACCCUUCCAACUGUACAGCCAACCAAUGUAUUCUAGGAAAGAGAUGCUCUAUACUUCAA